CAAUAGCGUAUAUUAAAGUUGUUGCGGUUAAAAAAGCUCGUAGUUGGAUUUCUGUCGAGAAGAACCAGUCCGCAUUUUGUGCGUGUAUUUGGUUUCGUCUUGGCAUCCUUUCAAGGAACGUUUCUGUGAUUAAGUUCAUGGAGCGGCACUUUGAAACUUUUACUUUGAGGAAAUUAGAGUGUUCACGGCAGGCAAUCGCCUUGAAUAUAUUAGCAUGGAAUAAUAAUAUAGGAUCUUGGGUCUAUUUUGUUGGUUUCUAGGACAUACGCAAUGAUUAAUAGGGACAAUUGGGGGCAUUCGUAUUAACGCGUCAGAGGUGGAAUUCUUAGAUUGCGUUACGACGAACUACUGCGAAAGCAUUUGCCAAGGAUGUUUUCAUUGAUCAAGAACGAAAGUAUGGGGAUCGAAGAUGAUCAGAU
rnacentral:rRNA from 1 species